GUUCCUUCAAGAGCAAGUGAAAGCUAGUGAAGAGGAAACAAACAGUACAGUUUAAAUCCCAUUAUAGAGGUAUUGAGAGGAUGCGUUGGGAGCAGGCAAGAAGAAUUACCAUGGGAAAAUCUGAGAAACAUUUUUAAGGGGAUGAAGAAUAGGAAAUUAUCGUAAGACACACUGGGAGAGAUACUGCUCAUGUCAAUUGGAAGAGCAACAUAAAAACAUGAAGAUGGCAACAAGGCAUGAAGGCCAUCAUCGGAUGUGGGCUGAUUGAUCUUGGACUUCCAAGCCUCCAGAACUAGAACUACUCCACCAUCAUCUGAUGUGGUUCUGAUGGCUGUGUGUUUCUCAGCUUUAUCCUCAGCCUGUGGGUAAUUUAAAAUAAAUACUUUUGCAAGUGAACCAAUAGAAAUAUUUCACUGUCAUUGGGCAGAAAGCUAAAAACCUAAUUACGUUGGAAGUAGGAAGAGGAAGUAAGUAUGGUUGGAAGAGGUGGAGUCUGGUGCUGCCAGAGCAGAAAGCACAAAGAAGAACGUGCUUUUAGGUGGGUGCCCUAAGAGACAUGAUAAGUGAAAAAGGACAUGUUUCACAGCGUGAUCUAUAUGUAACCCUUUUAAAGGAAACCGGUCUUCUCAAGUCUCUUCAGAAGCUAAAAGGAUAUUUAUAAAAGAAAUGAUGAUAUACCUCAAACCAUGGGUAUGGAACCGGAAAUAGCAAUUUGACCACAGAAGUUUUUUCACAACUCAUAUACUACUACCCAAUGAUCUAGGAUCCAUGUGGCCUCACAAAAUAUAUGAGAAUAGCCACUCAUAGUGUCAAUCUUUAGAACCUGAAUGAAAAGAAAAAAAAAAUAUGGUGAGAAGAGGAAAUGACAGAGGAGCACACAAUGGUGAUGGUGGUGAGGACAGAGAUGUGGUAGCUGCAAUCUAUUAAUGGUAAAUCACUAAAAGAAGACCCUAAAACUCCUAAAAUGCUUAAAUGACCUUGAGUUUGGAUCCAUUUCCUUGAGGGCCAGUCCUAUUACUGAUCAUCUACUUAGAUAUCUAUGAAAGCCCACUACUGAAACCACUCCAUAUGUAUUCUUUUUUUUUUUUUUUUUUUUUUUGAGACGGAGUCUUGCUCUGUCGCCCAGGCUGGAGUGCAGUGGCGCAAUCUCGGCUCACUGCAAGCUCCGCCUCCCGGGUUCAAGCUAUUCUCCUGCCUCAGCCUCCUGAGUAGCUGGGACUAUGGGCGCC
rnacentral:lncRNA from 1 species